GGAUGUGAGGUGAUCUGGCUGUGACAUCUGUCACCCCAUUGAUCGCCAGGGUUGAUUUGGCUGGUCUGGCUGGCUAGGCAGGUGUCCCCUUCCUCCCUCGUCACUCCAUGUACAUCCCUCCCAAAGCUGCGCACUCAGUCAAAGAGGACAACUUUCCCCAAUAGAGAUGUACUGUUCAUCGGUCAAGGAUAUACAGUAGCUGCGCUCCCCUGCUAGAAACUCCAAACAAGCUCUGUGUUUGCCCUGAAAUACUGGGUCGUAGGACAUGCUAGCAAAUAAUCUGCAAAGUUCAAGUGCUGUCUUUUU
rnacentral:snRNA from 1 species